UCAAGCUAUAAAGAGCGUAGGGAGAAUGACUUGGCAUCAGGAGCCGAAGAAGGACGUGACAAGCUGCGAAAAGCUGCGGUUAGGAGCAAAUAUCCAUAGACCCGCAGAUAUCCGAAUGGGGAAACCCGGUACGGCAAUACCGUAUCACUGCAUGGUAAAUACAUAGCCAUGUGGAGGAAACCCUCUGAACUGAAACAUCUAAGUAGGAGGAGGAAGAGAAAGAAACAUCGAUUUCCUAAGUAGCGGCGAGCGAAAGGGAAAGAGGCCAAACCAGAGAUAGCAAUAUCUUUGGGGUUGCGGACUGCAAAAUUGAUUCAAUAUUUUUAGCAGAAGUGUAUGGGAAGACACACCAUAGUAGGUAAUAGUCCUGUAAGCGAAAAGGAUAUUGACAAGGCAGGAUCCAGAGUACCACCGGACACGAGGAACCCGGUGGGAAGCCGGGGGGACCACCCCCCAAGCCUAAAUACUACCUGAUGACCGAUAGUGAAAAGUACAGUGAUGGAAAGUUGAAAAGAACCCCGGAAGGGGAGUGAAAAAGAAUCUGAAACCCUAUGUUUACAAGCUGCUAAAGCACCAUAUGAGUGCGAUAGCGUACUUUUUGUAGAACGGUCCGGCGAGUGUAUGUUGCAAGCGAGGUUAAGGUGUUAAGCACUGAAGCCGAAGGGAGACCGAGUGUGAAUAGCGCGUACAGUUUGCAGUAUACGACCCGAAACCGGGUGACCUAACCAUGGACAGGUUGAAGUGGAAGUAAAAUUCCAUGGAGGACCGAACCCACGUCUGUUGAAAAAGGCGGGGAUGAGCUGUGGUUAGCGGUGAAAUUCCAAUCGAACUCGGAUAUAGCUGGUUCUCAUCGAAAUAGCUUUAGGGCUAGCCUCAGGAUAGUUUAGCGGAGGUAAAGCACUGAAUGGGCUAGGGGGCUUCACGGCUUACCGAACCCUAUCAAACUCUGAAUGCCGCAUAAAUGUUUCCUGGGAGUCAGACUGCGUGAGAUAAGUUUCGUAGUCAAAAGGGAAAGAGCCCAGACCUACAGCUAAGGUCCCUAAAUGAAUUUAAGUGGAAAAGGAUGUGCAGUUGCGUAGACAACUAGGACGUUGGCUUAGAAGCAGCCACUCAUUUAAAGAGUGCGUAAUAGCUCACUAGUCGAGUGAUUGUGCGCCGAAAAUGUAACGGGGCUAAAAUUCAUACCGAAGCUUAGGAAUGAUAGUAAUAUUGUUGGUAGAUGAGCGUUGUGUAAGUCUGCGAAGCUACACCGAAAGGAGUAGUGGAGAUAUCACAAGUGAGAAUGCCGGAAUGAGUAGCGAGAAUUAUGUGAGAAUCAUAAUGGUCGAAAAUCUAAGGUUUCUUGAGGAAGGUUCGUCCGCUCAAGGUAAGCCGGGAGCUAAGGCGAGGCCGAGAGGCGUAGUCGAUGCACAUACGGUAAAGAUUCCGUAGCCACCGAAGUCGUUAAAUACAGGGACACAGGAACAUAGCCCAUCCCCACCGUUGGUUGAGUGGGGCGUAAGGGAGCGAAAAUUAGUAGCGAAGUGGGUGAUUGUACACUGGCGAGAAAAGCUGUAUGGAUUGACAAGGUGCCCGUACCGCAAACCGACACAGGUAGAUGAGGAGAGAAUCCUAAGACCAGCGGGAGAAGUGUUGUUAAGGAACUCGGCAAAAUGACCCCGUAACUUCGGGAUAAGGGGAGCCUACGAGAGUAGGCCGCAGAGAAUAGUCUCAAGCGACUGUUUAGCAAAAACACAGGUCUAUGCUAAAUCGAAAGAUGAUGUAUAUGGGCUGACGCCUGCCCGGUGCUGGAAGGUUAAGGGGAAGUGUUAGAGCAAUCGAAGCACUGAACUUAAGCCCCAGUAAACGGCGGCCGUAACUAUAACGGUCCUAAGGUAGCGAAAUUCCUUGUCAGGUAAGUUCU
rnacentral:rRNA from 1 species